ACUGUUUUUUUUCCAACCUAAAAAGGAUCACCAUAUUUUAUAACAAAUGUGGUUAGCAAAAACUCAAAUUAGAGGAUAAUGUUCCUAUCUGCCCCUCCAAGCUUACUGAGGACCACUUUCCCCAUCUCAAAGCCUUUGUGUCCCUCCCCCAUCCCCAUGCUCUUCUUUGGGCCCCUCACUACCAGCUCCUUCUCAUUCUCCAAGGCACAACUUGAAUCUCAUCUUCUACAGAGAAAGUUUCUGAAAGUCACCCAGUCAGUACCUCACUUUUCCCAUUGUUUGCUUAGUUGUUAAGGAGAAGCUGACGCCUGACCCCGUGCCAAGGGUGGGCACUGUUUGGCUUAACCCCACCAGCACAUUCUAUUCCCCUUGGCCACAGUCAUUGGUUCAGGGGUGGGCACGUGACCUACACAGUCCAAUCAGGUGAUUCUCAGUGCUAUUGCUUAGAGCACUGGGGUGUGACUGUUACCUGUGUGCCCCAUUCCAUCUCCCUUGCCUUCCCUCAAGCCCCAUUAUGUGAGGUUAUGAGACCUCAUGAUUACAACCGACCUAACUGCCAUCCAGAAAGGAAGCUGGAUGUAGACACUUGGAUGGAAAUUAGAGCCUAGGCAUUAACCCAAUUCUGAGACUCACCCUACCUCUGUAUUUAAAUGAAACCAUAUUUCUCCUUACUGUCUAAGUCAGGUUGAAUUGGGAGUUUCUGUUAUUCGCGGCUAAAACCAUCCUCAUUUCCUCAGCAAGCGCAUGUGAGAAAAAGGAAAGGAAGAAGAAUUAGUAUCCUGUGUCUUCUCUUUUCUGAGCUAUCAUGGGGAGAGCGGGCUACUUGAUUACAAAGUCAGAUCUCAGCAAAAAUGGAUAUAUCACAAAAGGCCAGUUGUCUAAGGGUGGACAGCUAGAAUUUUGAAAGAGAGAGACGUGAGAACUAAGAGUCAUGCAAAUUAAAGUUGCUUUAAUUCCCCAAUAAAAAAGGAGAAAGAGCAAAACGGGAGCCAAAAUUCUUGCCAAUUCUGAACGAUGAGGCACUUCAAACUAAUAACACAUGCCUUCCAACUGCUUACUAUAUCAACAAACAUAAGGCUUAAGGAAGGAACAGGGUCAACCCAAAACAGAAGGUCAGGAAUGUCUAUAGUUCCUGACCCCUGACUUUUUAUACCUGCCUCUGGCCUCCUCAUUUACUAUUGGUUGUGUCUCAUAUGUGGCCCAGAAUGCAAAUCUCUGACCUGCCUCUGCUAAGGUUCUCUAGAUAUGCAUGUUCUAUUCCUAUUUGAUUUCUCUUUGACCUUCCAAGGCCUGAGAGGCCUACCAGUAAAAUGCAGCCCCAGUCCUGUUUUAUAUCAUCAAGUGCCAAGCAGUGAAAAAAGGGCCUCUUUCUCCUAGAACAAACCACUACAGAACAUUAUUUCCUCUGGUCCUGCACUGGCCUUGCUUGAUCUUCCAAAGGUAAGAUCACUGGAUAUCCUCCUAUGGAAGAGGAAGUGCCAACUAUGCUUGUUACCCUUGGGGGACAGAGAUGAAAGAAGAGGACAUUUUUGUUCCUUGGGAGUACAGGAAGCCCUACCCUUAUGACUGUGACCUAUGACCUGUCCUUGAGGAUUACAUUUGUCCUUGAACAGAACUCUUCCCUGGGGCAGAGUUUAUACAUAAGAAAAUGUGGGGAGGCUUGGCAGCGAUGAUGGGAGGAAGACUGUAAUAUUGAGGAGCAUUGGGCUGUUUCCAGGAGGGAUCACAAGGACCUUGUUGAAUUUUUUUCAAUAGCAGUGGGUGUCUAGGAAAUUAAUCACAAUAAAAUAAAACUAAUAUGGUCAAAACUUUGUGCUUUAAAUAUGUCCUACGUAAUUAAAAUGCCUAUUAGCCUUCAGCUUG